GCUGUAACCUAACAAACUGCCCUAACUACCCUGGCAUCAUCGUUUCUUGAGUGAGAACGAGAUACCAAAUGAAGAAAAUCACAGCUUGGUUGUAAUGUGGCACCACGUGAUGCCAUAAGAAGUCCAAUAUAUUGUUGAAUAUGAAAUAGCAGAGAUACCCAUGAAUAUGAAAGAGCAAGGCAGGAGUGUGAUGGUUGUCAUCUCAUACCAUUUUUUGAGAAAGCUGAUAGUCAACUCCUGCUCAAAUUCUUCUUAAAGAAGCAGUUGCAACACGCCUGGCUUGCAUUGAUUGCAUUUCUUCCAGUUUCAGCUUUGUGAUUCUCCAUCUUUCAGUAAAGAAAGAAAAACAGGUUCUGAAUAUUUAUGAACUUCAAAAAUCCCACUGCAUU